UACGUAGGGUGCGAGCGUUGUCCGGAAUUAUUGGGCGUAAAGAGCUCGUAGGCGGUUUGUUGCGUCGGCCGUGAAAACCUGCAGCUUAACUGUGGGCCUGCGGCCGAUACGGGCAGACUUGAGUUCGGUAGGGGAGACUGGAAUUCCUGGUGUAGCGGUGGAAUGCGCAGAUAUCAGGAGGAACACCGGUGGCGAAGGCGGGUCUCUGGGCAGUAACUGACGCUGAGGAGCGAAAGCGUGGGGAGCGAACAGG
rnacentral:rRNA from 1 species